rnacentral:rRNA from 1 species
GUACGAAGGGGGACUAGCGUUGUUCGGAAUACUGGGCGUAAAGCGCACGUAGGCGGAUUUGUAAGUCAGGGGUGAAAUCCCGGGGCUCAACCUCGGAACUGCCUUUGAUACUGCGGAUCUCGAGUCCGAUAGAGGUGGGUGGAAUUCCUAGUGUAGAGGGUGAAAUUCGUAGAUAUUAGGAAGAACACCGGUGGCGAAGGCGGCCCACUGGAUCGGUACUGACGCUGAGGUGCGAAAGCGUGGGGAGCAAACAG